GAAAGCCUCAAAGGUAGCAGUUCAUUUGGAUUGCAAAGCAGUAUUGAAAUGUUCUAUCUUUCAGAGAACAAGAGAUUUGAACUUGCUAACGAAACAGCCUGUAACUAGAUCAUGACGAAACCAACAAAACAUGAAAAUGGAGUUUGCUUGAUUGGAUCCCUGAAGGAACAAGGCCUUGAUUUUUACAGCCACUUCACAGUAUGACUGUAGCCACGUGCCAGCUUCAAACACCUGCUCUUUGCCAGGAUGAGAGUUAACAGAAGAUAUCUUUACCAACAUAAAGCCUAUAGGAAUUUGGGACAGCAUGUCAACACUAUGUAAUACUACAAAUGCAGGUUCCAGAUUAACUGAAAUUCAUAAUUAGUAGCAGAUUUCCCAUUUCAAAGUGCCUCACAGAAGAGACUACGAGGGUCAUCAGCAGAUGAUAACGUCAGAGCAGUUUUCUGUAUGUCCUAUUCUCAUUUAAAACUACAAACUUAUUAAAAUAACAUUGCUUGCCUCUGCCAAGAGACUGAAUGUAUAGAAAAUAGUAUUCUGUUUCAAUAAUUAGUGAGAUACAUGGAUAUUUUUAGCUGACUGUUAAAUGGUUCUUAGUCUUUUGGCUAUGUGAAAGAAUAUAUAAGGUUAUUCUCAUG
rnacentral:lncRNA from 1 species